GUCUUGUAAUUGGAAUGAUGGGAAUUUAAACCUCUUCCAGAGUAUCAAUUGGAGGGCAAGUCUGGUGCCAGCAGCCGCGGUAAUUCCAGCUCCAAUAGCGUAUAUUAAAAUUGUUGCAGUUAAAAAGCUCGUAGUUGAAUUUCUGCUGCAUUGCUUGUGUCCCUCUGGGGUCUGUGCAUGUGGCUUUUUUCGGACGGAGUUUCUUUGUCUGAAUGUUUACUUUGAGAAAAUUAGAGUGCUCAAAGCAGGCUUUCGCCUUGAAUAGUUUAGCAUGGAAUAAUAAAGUAGGACUUUGGUUCUAUUUUGUUGGUUUUAGGUACCAAAGUAAUGGUUAAUAGGAACAGUUGGGGGCAUUCGUAUUUAACUGUCAGAGGUGAAAUUCUUAGAUUUGUUAAAGACGAACUACUGCGAAAGCAUUUGCCAAGGAUGUUUUCAUUAAUCAAGAACGAAAGUUAGGGGAUCGAAGACGAUCAGAUACCGUCGUAGUCCUAACCAUAAACUA
rnacentral:rRNA from 1 species